rnacentral:rRNA from 1 species
GUCUAAGUAUCAUUAAGUGAAUACAUAGCUUAAUGAGGGGAACUCAGGGAACUGAAACAUCUAAGUACCUGAAGGAAGAGAAAGAAAUUCGAUUCCGUAAGUAGCGGCGAGCGAACGCGGAUUAGCCAAAACCAAUAAAGUUUUCUUUAUUGGGGUUGCGGACAUAUCAUAACGAAGAGGUAUCGUAAUUGAAGAGGUUUGGAAAGACCCACCACAGAAGGUAAUAGUCCUGUAUGUUAAACGAGAAGACUU